rnacentral:sRNA from 1 species
GUUAGGCUUAGGCUUAGGCUUAGGCAUAUAUUUAGGCUUAGGCUUAGGUCAUAG